rnacentral:rRNA from 1 species
AGCGAACGUUAGCGGCGGGCUUAACACAUGCAAGUCGAACGAGAAAGUAGACUUCGGUCUGCGAGUAAAGUGGCAGACGGGUGCGUAACACGUGGGUAAUCAACCUAGCGGCGGGGGACAACAUCUCGAAAGGGGUGCUAAUACCGCAUACGUUUGAGAGGUCUUCGGGUCUUUCAAAGAAAGGGGGCUUCGGCUCUCACCGCUUGACGAACCCGCGUCCCAUCAGCUUGUUGGCGAGGUAACGGCUCACCAAGGCUAAGACGGGUAGCUGGUCUGAGAGGAUGAUCAGCCACACUGGAACUGCGACACGGUCCAG